rnacentral:rRNA from 1 species
GUGCCAGCAGCCGCGGUAAUACGUAGGGUGCGAGCGUUAAUCGGAAUUACUGGGCGUAAAGCGUGCGCAGGUGGUUGUGUAAGUCAGAUGUGAAAUCCCCGGGCUCAACCUGGGAACUGCAUUUGAGACUGCACGGCUAGAGGAUGGCAGAGGGGGGUAGAAUUCCACGUGUAGCAGUGAAAUGCGUAGAGAUGUGGAGGAAUACCGAUGGCGAAGGCAGCCCCCUGGGCUAUUUCUGACACUCAUGCACGAAAGCGUGGGGAGCAAACAGGAUUAGAUACCCCCGUAGUCC